AUAUUUAUUCCAUUUUUUUGGCUUUUCUUCAUAGAAAACAACGAACUAGUUUCCCUAAAGUGUGAUUCAGCACUUCAUUUGUUUAUUCGAUUUGGAUGAACAAUAUUACCAUAUUUCAAGCUUGUCUCAAACUUCUCCCUCUAAGCCAAGAGUGACUAAAUAUUUUAGGAUCACAAUCCAAAGUGAUUGAUUUUGGGAACACCAUGUAAACACAGAAUCUCUUGAAACAACAACUUUGCAGUGUGAGCCAUGUUGUAAUUUUAUUAAUAGGGGAUUUCAUGUGCCAGUUUGGAAAAGCUAUCAGUGACUGCAAAUACUAAGUCUACCCCUCGUAGUGUUGUAGGAAAGCUUUAACAAGAAUUCCGUACUAAGAUCUUCUUAAAUACGUUUAGUUACAGGAAAGGGCACAUACAACUAUGUAUUUUGUGCUGGCCUCUUUGAUUUCUGGAUAAUAGGAAACUUCCUAAUAGGAUUUGUUGCAUCUCUUUUCAAUUGAGACCAUCAAAAUCUUUUCUAGUCAAACGAUAGUCUUUUCUCCGCCACGAUUAUCUCUAAGUCCACUGUUAUGCAUGUCUUGAAUAAUAUUUUUUCCUAAAGAGUUUACUUUUGGGGUAUAUAUAAACGGUUACCUUCGAAUAAUAUUUAGUUGUCUUAACUUUUAGCUGC
rnacentral:lncRNA from 1 species